rnacentral:rRNA from 1 species
UAGAGACUCAGAGCUGCAUAUCAAUAAGCGGAGGAAAAGAAACUAACAAGGAUUCCCUUAGUAACGGCGAGUGAGGCGGGAAGAGCUCAAAUUUGAAAUCUUCAAGGUUUUACCUUGACGAAUUGUAGUUUAAAGAAGUGUUUUCUGCUGAAGUUUUGGUAAAAGUUCUUUGGAAUAGGACAUCAUAGAGGGUGAGAAUCCCGUAUUUGACCAUUAUUUUCAGCUGUGUGAUACACUUUCAAAGAGUCGGAUUGUUUGGGAAUGCAGUCCAAAAUGGGUGGUAAAUUUCAUCUAAAGCUAAUAUUGGCGAGAUGACCGAUAGCGAACAAGUACCGUGAGGGAAAGAUGAAAAGAACUUUGAAAAGAGAGUUAAACAGUACGUGAAAUUGUCAAAAGGGAAGCGUUUGACACCAGUGUUGUUUUUCUGAAAAUCAAUUAAAGAACUGUUUAUGCUAAGUUGUUUAGACUUUAUCAGCUAACUGUUUAGUUUUGAGCUUUUCUUUAAUGCACUUUUCAGUUAACAAGUCAACAUCAAUUUCUUUUGCUGUAAAAAAGCUUGAGGAAGGUGGCUUGAGAUUCGUCUUAAGUGUUUAUAGCCUCUUGCCUAUGCAGUCGGAGAGAUUGAGGUCUGCAGCGUAGAUCCUUCGGGGCUAAGUGCAUUUGUGCUAAGUUAUAGCAUUUUAUAGACAACUUGUUGACUAUGAUUUGUCUUGUAGCUUACUCGCUUAUGCUAUUUUACCUACGCUUAGGAUGUUGAGUAGCGACAUACGCAC